rnacentral:rRNA from 1 species
UAGGGAAUCUUCCGCAAUGGGCGAAAGCCUGACGGAGCAACGCCGCGUGAGUGAUGAAGGUCUUCGGAUCGUAAAACUCUGUUAUUAGGGAAGAAUAAAUGUGUAAGUAACUAUGCACAUCUUGACGGUACCUAAUCAGAAAGCCACGGCUAACUACGUGCCAGCAGCCGCGGUAAUACGUAGGUGGCAAGCGUUAUCCGGAAUUAUUGGGCGUAAAGCGCGCGUAGGCGGUUUUUUAAGUCUGAUGUGAAAGCCCACGGCUCAACCGUGGAGGGUCAUUGGAAACUGGAAAACUUGAGUGCAGAAGAGGAAAGUGGAAUUCCAUGUGUAGCGGUGAAAUGCGCAGAGAUAUGGAGGAACACCAGUGGCGAAGGCGACUUUCUGGUCUGUAACUGACGCUGAUGUGCGAAAGCGUGGGGAUCAAACAGG